CCCUAGCCCCGAUGGAAGUGGAAAUCCUUUUGAUUUUUGCUGCCAAAAAGAAAAAGAUUGGAACAAACAGCGGGAUUAAGC
rnacentral:sRNA from 1 species